AAAAAAAAAAAAGGUUUGUUUACUACUUCGGUUAGACUUGCUCAAGUCUCUAUGUUUAAUAAUCAUUGCUCUCUUUAAUACUUUUUAAUAAUGGUGACAUUAAGUAUGGUAGAGAGCAGAUAUUUAGACUUCUGAAACACAGAAAAUUUGAACGAAAUGAUAAAGUAAUAAAAACAACAUAGAGACUUGAGCAAGUCUGUACUUCGGUGACAGGGGGCAGUUUCUUUGGUUUUGAAACAUGUGGAUAGGGGGUAUACACCAAAGUCAGAUUAUGACAGACUAAUGAAAAAUCAUAUUUCCCUUUUAUGUCAAUACUUGUAUCUCAUAUUAGUGUAGUUAAUAAAUUAUGACCCUAAAUUACAUGUAAUCUAUAAAUACUGGUGCUGGUGCACAAAACACGCUCUGAGCAGGUUCCCCUUUUUUGCUUUGAUUUUCUCUCAUUUGGGCUAAUCCGCACCACCCCCAUACCAUCACAGUACCAAACAUGGGGAUUUAGACACUGUGCACAAUCAAGAACCCUAUCUGCCCUUCUCAAAAAUCUACCUCUCAUAUGGGGCCAUCCACCUUCCCUCACAGCUACAGACCUUUUGCUGGACCCUGCAUGUUUUCACCGGAAUUUCUUCAGCAACUGACCACGUGUCUUAGUUUCGUAUUUGCACCCAUCUAUAUGCUAGGAAUCAUGGUGACACCUACAUGUUGUAUAUCAACAUUUUUAUUAAGCACUCAGCUACAUUUGACAUGCAUCCUAAAAUUAUUGUAUACAUUUUUACACAUGUAAUAUCACUUCAAAUAUGGGGUAUUUCCAUUUUUUGAAAACGUUUACCGGGCCUAUAGUGCGAAACUGUCCCCUGCUACCUUCCGUCUGAAUGGUACAAUUUCUGCAAACAUUUUCACGUCGAGUUUGGCCUACUACAGUCCUUUUACCACAACAUUGUUAUAAAGUUACUCGAUGAACAUCAUACGAUUUAAUGGUCGUAAUUCUAAUUGGACAUUAAAUACAGUGGAUUUCGUAUUUUGGACUUUAUUUCUUGGUUAACUGGCUGUGACGUCCACUACUAUACCAGCACAGUAAAAGGACUUUAAUUAGCCAAUCAGACAAAAUGGAUCCAAUCUCGGAUAACAUACAACGUCUUACAGCUGAUGCCUUACGUCAGUUGGAAUCUUCAGAAGAUGCACACAGUAAACGUGUCAGAGUAUUAACAGCAAAGAAGUAUGAGGAGUUCCAGUCGCGUGUGAGUCAAAUUUCGGUUGAGCAUCACUGAAGAGACAUUAUUUGUCGAAAUGCGCAUCUGGUGCAUCAAAAUUGGUACCGUAUAAGUUUUACAUUGAUCAACAGAUCAAGGAGCAGUGGAAAAUUGUGACUCCAUUCAUUAACUACAGUGAAAGUGAUGAUCCGUACAUCACAGAAAUUGGACUGAAAGCCGAGUCGCGAAAGUGUUUUGACCUCAUAGAUCAUAAUCUUAACUAUUUAUAUGAGUGCUACACGAAGGAAAGUUUGGAGCUGCACAAGAGGGUUCAGGAUGAUCAAACACUUAAAAGUAUUCAAGUGGAAAGAACUAUGGUUCGACUGGAGCAUGCUAAAGCUAGACUAGAAGUCGGUUCGCUACAUACUGCGGAUAACUCCGUUUACCUGAUCAGGAUAUGGGGUUCACGGCGGAUGUGACCGGUCAACAGGGGAUGCUUACUCCUCCUAGGCACCUGAUCCCACCUCUGGUGUAUCCAGGGGUCCGUGUUUGCCCAACUAUCUAUUUUGUAUUGCUUGUAGGAGUUAUGAGAUUGAUCACUGUUCGUUAUAUUCACCUUGCAUACUCGCAGUAGUGUUAAUUUAAGACCAUCGAAUCGCUCAUCUCGUUCGAACCGUUCGUCAGUUAGUGCAGAGGAUAAACAAGCUAAAGCAGAGGCUGCGAGGGCUGCCAUGGAUUUUCUGGAUGAAGAAGCUUCGCUUAAAAAGAAAGCCUUAGAUAUCGAGACUGAGCUUCGUCGUGUCUCUCUUCAAAAGGAGGCUGCCAUGGCUGACGCUGCCGCAGAUGCCUUAGAUGGUAAUAUUGUGAAAUCCGAGCUAGCCCAAAGUCAUUUGGAUGAACAGAGGCGUAUCAAUGGAAUCAGAAGCACAAUAGACAACUUUGGCUCGACACUUAGACCGGAAGCCCAACAUUUCACCCUUGCCCGCAACAAAAUACAACGUAUUUCGAACCUCCUCAUCAACUGGACUCUUCGGAUUUGAGUAAUUCACAGCACCAUGCUUCGACUAAUCACUCCAAUGAUUUUGUCACCUUCAUGUUAAAGAAAGAGUUGCUGUCAAAGCGGAAAUGGGAAUUUGAUGAUACUGUUGAAUCCUACCAAGUUUGGAAAUCUAACUUUUUGAGAUCUAUGAGAGAUAUGGAUGUGGAUGAAACUGAUCAAGUUGACCUCAUGAUUCGGUAUCUUGGGAGCAAGUCCAAGGUUUCUGCUCUUCGUAUACGUAAUGCAAAUCCUCACAAUCCAAGCCGAGCGCUAUUAUGGAACACUAGAUACGUUAGAAUCAGCGUUAAAAUUGCGUAUCAGUGACUUUCCAAAGAUAACUGUCAAGGAUCCCAAGAGACUUUACGAGUUGGCAGAUCUACUGUCGGAAGUAGCAUCGUUAAAAGAUGACCCAAUUAAUGCCAAUGAGUUCGCAUAUUAUGACUCUUCGUCAGGGAUCAGGCCCAUUGUUUGUAAACUGCCGCCAUCACUACAAGAGAAAUGGACAAGCAGGGCUGCAAAAUACCAGACUACUCACCAUGCUGUAUUUCCUCCAUUUAGGGAAUUCUUGCAGUUUGUGAAGAAGAUGGCAAGGAUUAAGAACAAUCCAUCCUUUAUGUACGAAUCACAACAAUCUAAUGGUCAGCAGUCGAAGCCCAAGACACAAACUGUGCAGCAAAUAGCCACUAAAAAGACUUCACUUGAUAGGGAUGCUAAGGAGACUGAAUCGCAUACUAAGCUAGUGUCUUGUCCUUAUCAUGAGAGCUCGAACCACACUCUCAAUCAGUGCCGUGCUUUUCGCUCUAUGGUUAUUGAAAAACGCCGACAAUUCUUACGAUCAAAGACAGUAUGCUUGAAGUGCUGUGAAAUUCAAAGGCAUGACUUUCAAAAAUAUUCAAAGAAGGUUACCUGUAGUGUUUGUCAGCGUGAACAUCCUACAGCUCUUCAUGAGGACUGAGAGGAUGACAAAAGGUCUACUUACAGUCGUAACUUACCAAUUCCUCCAUCUGUUUUGUGAUGUCCUUGUUAAGCCUUUGCAAAUUUACAUACAUUCAACUUCCCACAUUUAUUUAGCAAUAUUCCAUUAUCACCUGCAUAUGGUGUUUAUAUAUCUCAACUGAUUCGAUAUGCAAGAGCUUGUUCUGGGUAUAGUCAGUUUUUAAAUCGAGGUAAGCUACUGACAAACAAGUUGAUGGUACAGGGAUUUCAACAGUCUCGAUUGAAGUCAGCAUUUCGCAAAUUCUAUGGUCGUUAUAAAGAUCUAGUUCGUCAAUACAACCUCGCAUUGGGUCAAAUGCUGUCUGACGUGUUUCAUACCGAUUGUUAAGCCGUUCUUGGCACACUGAUUUGACUGCGGAUAACUCCGUUUACCUGAUCAGAAUAUGGGGCUCACGGCGGGUGUGACCGGUCAACAGGGGAUGCUUACUCCUCCUAGGCACCUGAUCCCACCUCUGGUGUGUCCAGGGGUCCGUGUUUGCCCAACUAUCUAUUUUGUAUUGCUUGUAGGAGUUAUGAGAUUGAUCACUGUUCGUUAUCUUCACCUUGCAUUUAUAUUAUUAAUGUUAGAAACAAAAUAAGGAUUCAUAUUAAUGUUAUGUAGCUACACUUUAUCUUUAAAAUUGUAUUUCUUGAUAUAAUGAUUUUUGAACUGGGUUACUGAAUACGCCAGUUUCGAUAUUAGAGCUCUCCUGUGUAGGAGGUACAUUUAGUGGAACUUUGAAUGCUAAGUGGGACAAAGUGGACCUACCGUCAGUGAGAAAGAUGAUAAAAUAUAUUAAAAC